AAGGAGUCUAACAUGCUUGCGAGUAUUUGGGUGUCAAACCUGGAUGCGUUAUGAAAGUGAAUGGCGGUGGGAAGCGCAUGCUGCACCAUCGACCUAUCUGGAUUUUCUAAGAUGGAUUUGAGUAAGAGCACGUAUGUUGGGACCCGAAAGAUGGUGAACUAUGCCUGAAUAGGGCGAAGCCAGAGGAAACUCUGGUGGAGGCUCGUAGCGGUUCUGACGUGCAAAUCGAUCGUCAAAUUUGGGUAUAGGGGCGAAAGACUAAGCGAACCAUCUAGUAGCUGGUUCCAGC
rnacentral:misc_RNA from 1 species